rnacentral:rRNA from 1 species
GCAAGGUUAAAACUCAAAUGAAUUGACGGGGGCCCGCACAAGCGGUGGAGCAUGUGGCUUAAUUUGAUGCAACGCGAAGAAACUUACCUGGUCUUGACAUCCAUAAGAAUUCGCAGAGAUGUGGGGAUGCCUUCGGGAACUAUGAGACAGGUGCUGCAUGGCUGUCGUCAGCUCGUGUUGUGAAAUGUUGGGUUAAGUCCCGCAACGAGCGCAACCCUUAUUCUUUGUUGCCAGCGAUUUGGUCGGGAACUCAAAGGAGACUGCCGUUGAUAAAGCGGAGGAAGGUGGGGACGACGUCAAGUCAUCAUGGCCCUUACGACCAGGGCUACACACGUGCUACAAUGGCGUAUACAAAGGGAAGCGAAGGUGCGAGCUGGAGCGGAUCUCAUAAAGUACGUCUAAGUUCGGAUUGGAGUCUGCAACUCGACUCCAUGAAGUCGGAAUCGCUAGUAAUCGUAGAUCAGAAUGCUACGGUGAAUACGUUCCCGGGCCUUGUACACACCGCCCGUCACACCAUGGGAGUGGGUUGCACCAGAAGUAGAUAGCUUAACCGCGAGGGGGGCGUUUACCACGGUGUGAUUCAUGACUGGGGUGAAGUCGUAACAAGGUAACCA